UUAGAUCUAGGGAUUCUCUAAUUUUACAAGAUAAAUUUUGAUUUAUGUUAGUCUUCCGCUGCCUGAUCUUGAAAAAGUUUCAAGAUCUAAUCCUGAAAUCCUAGAUCUGGUUCCUUCACCUGAGUGUGUUGAAACUAGAAAAGGAGAAAAAUUUUAAGGCUGAUCCCAAGUUAGCUGAGGAAUUUAAGGAAGAUAAAGAUGUUCUGGGCUAUAUUCGGAUAGAGCA
rnacentral:lncRNA from 1 species